CCUACGACACGGACGCAGGCCCCGUGUUCGUCAAAGUCAACCGCAGGACGCAGGCCCGGCAGAUGUUUGAGGGGGAGGUGGCCAGCCUGGAGGCCCUCCGGAGCACGGGCCUGGUGCGGGUGCCGAGGCCCAUGAAGGUCAUCGACCUGCCGGGAGGUGGGGCCGCCUUUGUGAUGGAGCAUUUGAAGAUGAGGAGCUUGAGCAGUCAAGCAUCAACACUUGGAGAGCAGAUGGCAGAUUUGCAUCUUUACAACCAGAAGCUCAGGGAGAAGUUGAAGGAGGAGGAGAACACAGUGGGCCGAAGAGGUGAGGGUGCUGAGCCUCAGUACGUGAACAAGUUCGGCUUCCACACAGUGACGUGCUGCGGCUUCAUCCCGCAGGUGAGUGCCUGGGUGAGGGUGUUCCCUGAUGCCCUAAUGCUGGUCACCCACUCUUUAUAUGUGACAGAAUGCCAAUCCCCCAGGCACCAGCAAGAUUGGCUACUUGAUUUCUGAAAGCAGAGUAGAAGCUGUG
rnacentral:sRNA from 1 species